rnacentral:miRNA from 1 species
UACAUGCGUGGGAAUUCUUUGUGUUCGUUAAUUGUUUUAUUGUCUAAUAUUGAAUGCAUCGACUCGAGGAACGUUCGUUUUUCUUAACGAACACAAAGAAUUCCCACGCAUGUAUUUAUCG